AAACUGAAGAGUUUGAUCAUGGCUCAGAUUGAACGCUGGCGGCAGGCUUCAGACAUGCAAGUCGAGCGGAAACGACAAAGGUUUACCUUUGGGCGUCGAGCGGCGAACGGGUGAGUAACGCGUAGGAAUCUGCCCGAUAGCGGGGGAUAGCCCGGGGAAACCCGGAUUAAUACCGCAUACACCCCACGGGGGAAAGGCCGGGAUCUUCGGACCGGUCGCUAUCGGAGGAGCCUGCGUUGGAUUAGCUUGUUGGUAGGGUAACGGCCUACCAAGGCCACGAUCCAUAGCUGGUCUGAGAGGAUGAUCAGCCACACUGGAACUGAGACACGGUCCAGACUUCUACGGGAGGCAGCAGUCGGGAAUAUUGGACAAUGGGGGAAACCCUGAUCCAGCCAUGCCGCGUGUGUGAAGAAGGCCUUCGGGUUGUAAAGCACUUUCAGUAGUGAGGAAGGGACCUGGGUGAAUAUCCCGGGUUCUUGACGUUAGCUACAGAAGCAGCACCGGCUAACUCCGUGCCAGCAGCCGCGGUAAUACGGAGGGUGCGAGCGUUA
rnacentral:rRNA from 1 species